rnacentral:rRNA from 1 species
UGGGGAAUAUUGCACAAUGGGCGAAAGCCUGAUGCAGCGACGCCGCGUGAGGGAUGACGGCCUUCGGGUUGUAAACCUCUUUCAGCAGGGACGAAGCGCAAGUGACGGUACCUGCAGAAGAAGCACCGGCUAACUACGUGCCAGCAGCCGCGGUAAUACGUAGGGUGCAAGCGUUGUCCGGAAUUACUGGGCGUAAAGAGUUCGUAGGCGGUUUGUCGCGUCGUUUGUGAAAACCAGCAGCUCAACUGCUGGCUUGCAGGCGAUACGGGCAGACUUGAGUACUGCAGGGGAGACUGGAAUUCCUGGUGUAGCGGUGAAAUGCGCAGAUAUCAGGAGGAACAUCGGUGGCGAAGGCGGGUCUCUGGGCAGUAACUGACGCUGAGGAACGAAAGCGUGGUUAGCGAACAGG